rnacentral:rRNA from 1 species
AAGGGCACCACAAGAACGCGUGGAGCAUGUGGCUUAAUUUGACUCAACGCGGGAAAUCUUACCGGGUCCGGACACACUGAGGAUUGACAGGCAAUAUUAUAAUUUUUUAAUUGAAAUAAAUUUUUAUUAAUUUAUUUUUUUUAUUUUUUAUAUGUUAAAUAUGCUAGUCCUUUCAUGAUUAUGUGAUAGGUGGUGCAUGGCCGUUCUUAGUUCGUGGAGUGAUCUGUCUGCUUAAUUGCGUUUCACUAUUGGGCUUAUAUAAUUACGUAUGUUGUUAACGCUUUGACCCCUUUCUACGGAUUGUGCGUGUCUUUGUCUCGUUUAACUCAUACAAUUAAGCCCUGAAAGCAACGAACGUGACCGCAACCUCUUGUUGCUCUCAUAUUACCUUAUACUGCAUAAUAUUUGAAUAAUUUAUUUUAUUUUUUUUUAUGUUUAAGAGAGCUUUCUAAACUAGAGGGACCGCUGUUACUUUCUUAAACCAGAGGAAGGUUGCGGCAAUAACAGGUCUGUGAUGCCCUUAGAUGUUCCGGGCUGCACACGUGCUACAAUGAUUAUUGCAGUGAGCAUCUCAUUUUUUACACAUCGCAUGCGCGAGUCCAUUUAUUCAGAUAUCUUUCAUUUACUUUCGGGUGAAUGUAGUGUUUGCUUUAAAUGUGUAUCUCUGCGCGCGAUAAAGCCUGCUUCGAAAGUAAGUGGGUAAUCAAUUAGAAGUAAUGAUUUCCUUUUUUUUUCUGCACACAUAUAUAUGGCACUUAUACCCGGGUAACCUUGUUGUUACUUUUGUGCGUAUACGUGAUAAUCUUUACCGAUUAUACUACCAUAUGUGCAAUUGUCAAUUCAUGGUGGGGACAGACCAUUGUUAAUUGUUGGUCUCGGUCUUAACUAGGAAUGCCUUGUACGGAUCUUUGGUUCAACAAACCAUCCGGAAUACGUCCCUGCCCUUUGUACACACCGCCCGUC